UGUAUUUAUUAGAUUAAAAACCAAUGCCCUUCGGGGCUCCUUGGUGAUUCAUAAUAACUUAACGAAUCGCAUGGCCUUGUGCCGGCGAUGGUUCAUUCAAAUUUCUGCCCUAUCAACUUUCGAUGGUAGUAUAUGGGACUACCAUGGUUUCAACGGGUAACGGGGAAUUAGGGUUCUAUUCCGGAGAGGGAGCCUGAGAAACGGCUACCACAUCCAAGGAAGGCAGCAGGCGCGCAAAUUACCCAAUCCCGACACGGGGAGGUAGUGACAAUAAAUACUGAUACAGGGCUCUUUUGGGUCUUGUAAUUGGAAUGAGUACAAUUUAAAUCCCUUAACGAGGAACAAUUGGAGGGCAAGUCUGGUGCCAGCAGCCGCGGUAAUACCAGCUCCAAUAGCGUAUAUUAAAGUUGUUGCAGUUAAAAAGCUCGUAGUUGAACCUUGGGCCUGGCUGGCCGGUCCGCCUCACCGCGUGCACUGGUCCGGCCGGGUCUUUCCUCCUGGGGAGCCGCAUGCCCUUCACUGGGUGUGUCGGGGAACC
rnacentral:rRNA from 1 species